rnacentral:misc_RNA from 1 species
CACAAAUCAACUAUCUAAUAUUGUGAUAAUCAAAUGAAAGAAGCAGUUCAUAAUUGCAUUAAAUGUGUCCUUGCCAAAACGACACCAAUAAAAAGUCUGAAAUGAAAUGGGAAAUGAAACACUAGUGAAACAUGCUCCACUAGCUAAAGCCUACAUCUAAGCUAGAUAAUAACAGUAGACAGCCUCGAAAGCAUGAGGGUCUACCAAGUCCGGAUGAAACCUCCACGCCCGGAUAAUUGCAACGUCUUACUGUAAG